AUGGUUAGCAGUGUGGGAGACUAAAAGUUGUGCGAGAAAGCAAGUGUGACAGGCAGAGUGGGUGAGUCAUUUGAAAGUUGUGCCUUUGGUCUACCAUGUUUGCUGAGGGACCAGGGGGAGGCAACGGCUUUGUCAUCGAUCUGCCGCAGCUCGGCGGCUCCGCCAGCAGAGAUCAAACCCGCCGGUAAACCUGGGGACGCCGGCUGUUUGUCACCGUCGACUCACACCAACAGGAACAAGGACGGGAGCGGGAAGAGGAGGGAGGGAGGAGGAGACGGAGUGGGAAUAAGGGACAGCUGUGGUUUUUGCUGGAUAUUUGCACGAAGAUACAGUAAGCACAGACAGUGGAAAGUAGAGACGGAGAACUGGAGACAGACAAACACACAUGGACAGAUGGAGACUUAGAGAAAAGCUGACAAGGGGAGCGAAAGAAAAGAAAUGAGGGAUGGAAGCUGACAGAUGCACAGAUAAACAAACUGUGGGAGUUGGGGGUAAAGGAGCUGGAGGCACCCUGGUGUGUUCAGUGAUCAAAAACCAGUAAACUACAUUGUUGUUAUUCAGUUGGCAUUUCUUCAUGUUUUGCGGGUGGCGAUUUUUAGCUGACUUGCUACAAAGCUUCUUGGCCUUGGAGGCUGCGAGGGAGACCCGGGCAGAGCGGGAGUUUCAGCGAUGCUUGAAUCAGCACGGCGGAGGUUUGUGCUGACAGUCCCUCAGCGAGGCCUCGGCACCCUCUCUUCCAAAGAGCAGGGGGGAUAUCAUUACGUCCAAUCAGACCUCUAGUCCAUGAAUGGCAAAGAAGAGAAUAAGAAUAAGAGAGACAGUGCAGGUGAAUAAGCUAACUGAAAUUAUCUCCCCUGUACAUUUAUUACACCCUCAGCACAGCAGUGCCAAACCGUUGCACUGCCUGAGUCUGUGAGGCACACUUUAGAUUCAGGACACGGAGAGCAUCUGCAGUCUGUUCAUCAAAAGUUUAAAAUGAAAAGCUUCAGUAUGAGCGCUGCUGUUUCAAAGCAAAGUUUUCAAA